rnacentral:rRNA from 1 species
GACGAACGCUGGCGGUGUGCUUAACACAUGCCAGUCGAACGGAAAGGCCCUGCUUUUGUGCGGUGCUCGAGUGGCGAACGGGUGAGUAAGACGUGAGUAACCUGCCCUUCACUUUGGGAUAACUUCAGGAAACUGGGGCUAAUACCGGAUAGGAGCUCCUGCUGCAUGGUGGGGGUUGGAAAGUCUCGGCGGUAGGGGAUGGACUCGCGGGUUAUCAGCUUGUUGGUGGGGUAGUGUCUUACCAAGGCUUUGACGGGUAGCCGGCCUGAGAAUGUGACAGGCCACAUGAGUGCUGAGAUACGGACCAGACUCAUACGGGAGGCAACAGUGGAAAACAUUGCACGAUGGGAGGCAGCGUGAUGCUACAACGCCGCGUGUGGGAUAACGGCCUGCGGGUUGUAAACCGCUUUCGCGUGUGACGUAGCGUGAAUGACGGUAAUGGGUAAAGAAGCACCGGCUAACUACGUG